GCAUAUGCUGCAGCUAAUUUCCAUCACCUUGAACGUUAUCAGCAGUUUUUCCUUGCAGAUAGUAAACAAAUGGUACGGAUGGCUGGUAUCAAAAUCGAUUUCAAGCAGUAGCAAGUUGUAUGUUCUUUUGAGAUAUUUGGGGAAUUUAGGUAUUUUUCCCUUGUCAAGCCUCCUUUAUAUGAUUCUGUCAGGUAAGAGAAGGAUAGAGGGAAAAAAAUGCAGUUAAAGAAAGACAUCAACUUUCCUAAAAAUCUCUGAACAUCAUUUCAGACUGUGCAGAAAUGGUCUGGGUUCAUUUGGACACAAGCAUUAGAAUGUCAGCCUACAUAUCCCACACGUGAAGUCUUCUUGCCAUGUGCUUGUUGAUUCCUUCUGCUGUUCAGUUCACAAUCCCUUUUCUGAGAGAUAUUUGACAAUAUGGUAGUCAAAGACAAGUAAAAAUAAAGUUAUUAAUAUUAGCCACUUUUAUUUAUAUGGUAAUUUCACUUUUGGUGCUGGAGGAUACCAAGACAGACAGCUGCUACACGGCAAAUCUAAGUAGAAAUGAAGGCAGGAAAGGUUUGACGAACUAAGCUAUGCGUUUAUACAAAAGCUUUCUUUUUUUUUUUUUUCUGUUUUCCUUGGCUUAUUGUUUUUCUUUGUAGCCAAUAAUAUAUUUACCCCAAAUCCUUAUGUACUAGCAUUGCUUUGUCCUUGCAAUUUGCUCAAGGCGAAAAAAAAAAAAAGAAGCGUAGCUAUUCUUGUACUUUGGUAAGUAGGCAGACUUACAUAAUGCUUAUUUAACAUCUAAAACAAUGGUAAGGAAAAACAGGCGUUGUGAAAAUGUCUGUGAAUAAAACUAAUUUAUUUACUAAAUCAGAAUGUGAAUAGGAAAGAAGUGACAUGUUUAUGUGAAAGAGAAAGUAAUUUUAAUUUAUAUAUUUAAAUGCAAACUAAACUUUAACCAAAUUAGUCAUCUUGUAAUUCUGCUUAGUGGAACUUAAGUUGCAACAGAGUUGGUAUUGCAGUUGAGUUUUGUCCAAAGGAAGAGAUUGUAUUUUGUAGUUAAAUUUGGGAAUGCAUGCUUUUAUUUAGGGUAUGUUUUAUACCUGCCAUUUCUUCCUUUUUCUUGGCAUGCUGAUGUUGUGUUGAGGCGAUCUCAUUAGGAUCCAAAUGAGAGGACUUUUUACGGCUGCUCACAGAUCUAAACCUGUAGUACAGCAUAGCUAUCUGCUUUAUUCAUUUCUUCAAACAAGUUUAUCACUUUCGUCUCUCAGUCAAACAGUGUAGGGAAAAGUUAAAGUUUUACCUUGAUAUAUUUGGCUGUGCCUGGUCUGGCAAGUACUGUGGCACAGUAAAAGCAGAUCUACAGAGGGAAAAGAUCUACAGAAAGAAACAGUGCUGGGAACUUAAUGUUCACAAAUGUGUGUUCUGGAGAUUAGUUAGCCUGGUUCUCUGCUCCAGAUGCCCAAUAAUAGCUGGCACGUAUGAGGUGUGUCCUUGGAGUUCAGCUUUCUCUGCAGCAAGUCCAGGUCAGGUGCCCCCAGAUCAAUCCACGAUGCAAAACAGAGCACAGCCAACAGAAUGAUUAGGAGGGGAAGUCCAUGGUCUUAAAUAAAAUGUUAACAAAUACAUGCCCCCUAUUAAUACCGUAAAGCUGGUCCAGGAGCAAUUUUUGUGCCUAAAGGAGAGUAGAAAGUUGAAUGAUUUCUGGAGCUACUUCAUUAAGUAGGGUAUAGUUAGCUGUUGCACCUCAAAAUCCAUUGCUUUAGCCAUCCAAUCGAUUCAUUGUCAAAAUACACGCUUAGACUCUGCUUUUUGCUUUGGUUUUCUUGUAGAUAAUCCUUUAUCUGUCCCUUAGGCACUCAUAUGCAUACAAUUAUUCUUGAGCAUGUGUUUUAAUACAAACAGCUUUGGUAUGAAUUUCCUUUCUUUGAUUUAAAUCAAAGCUAUAGGCAGAAAAAGCAAAUUCCAUGGGCCAUAGUACAUAAAGCAGUUGGCCAAUUUUAAAUUACGUGGUUGCAGUGUGCCCUCUGCUUUCAUUUUGGGAGGUGCAGUCCCUUAGAGUUUCUCUGACUGCUCAUGGCAAUCCAUGGUGAUGUUCUAAAACAUUUGUAUUUCUGAUGCCAAUGGAGAGAGGUUUAUCAGCAGGGGUAGAAGAAGCCACUAGCCUUCUGUUCUGGUUUCUCUGGCAUCAGUGUAGCUUUUGGUCACUGCUAGCUGGUAUUUUAUGUCUCCUUGCUAAGCAGAGGAGGAGAGCAGAUGUUUAACUUUCUCCUGUUACGUUUUCAGUCUGCCAUUUUAAGACAACAAUUUUAAGGUAGUAUUUUUGGUAUGAUGCAAUCUGUGCUCCCUGUUGCAUUCAAAGUCAAAAGAAACAGUAGACCUUCAAGCAGUUCUUACUAGGUGAUACUGUCAGCUGACAACAAAAAAUAAUAAAACACGGGAGCAAUUUGUGUGUGUUAAGAGGGAAGCUAAGAUGACCUAGUGAUUAUUUUAAUCUCACUGUAGGCUUAGUUGAGGACAGAUUAGUGGAAAUGGCAAUAAAUUGCAGCAGAAGAUUUCAAAUUCUUUCAAAAUUCCCUGGGAACUCUCAGAAUGUGUCCUGUCUGAGGUUGCACAUCAGCAUGGGAAUCUAGAUAGUUGCUGAGUAAGAAAGCUUUCGCAGCUAGAGCUCAUAAAAGUACUUGUUGCUUUUGAGACAGAGAACAUUGUUUUUGCAGUAUUUUUGCAGAAUAAGGCAUUGGGUUCGUGUUCCUAGCAUUGAUAUAAGCAAAGCUGAUACAGGUAGCUGAAGUAACUAACAGUGCAGUGACAAAGAUGCCUUUAAAAUAACAUUCACCAUGUAGAUCUUAAAUAAUUCUUUUUCUUAGUUACUUAACACCUUGCAAUCCAGUUACUGUAAUUUACUUUGCAAAGUAUUCUAUUCGGUCCUGGUUUCUAAAAUAAAAAUGUUAUGACAACCUGCCAUUUUAUGGUAGGUUGACUUGUCAUCGUGGCGGUUUGCGAUUCCUUAAAACAAUAUAUGGUAAGACGAUCUUAUACUAAUUUUAAACUCUUCCUACAAGACAAUUCUCAGCCUUGAAUGGUAAUGGAAGUAUUUUUAUAUGUCUUUAUAUGUCUGCUAUAAAUAAAGUUCUACUUAGAGGAAUCGCUGGAUCUUUUUAUAUGGAGAAGAGCGAGCACAGUGAAGGAAGGGAAGAGUUGCAUUGCUGGAUUUAGGUAAACUAAAAAUCAUGUGUUCAUGGCAUCCAAAACCAGUGGCACCACUGUGGUCAAGAUGUCAGCAGUGAACUUGAAUGUGAGGGUGAGUGAGGUCUGUGGCCCACAUGUUCUUUAGGACAACAGUGAUUUUUGAUCACUGAUCAAAAUCAAUGAUUUUGAUUAGCUUGGUUGGAGAUAGUGUACUGUCUGGAUGAACUUUGGUGUGAUCAUUUAUUGUUUUUCUUGUGUUUCUGUAAUUGCUUAAGACUUGCAUUGACUCUUUUUAAAAAAAAAAAAAAUGCAACCAGAUAUGGUUGCAGUUUUGAUUGACAGUCAUACUGAUUACAUACAGCUGGAAAGUUUUGUGCUACUGGAUGGAGGUGAAACAAUUAGCAGUAGGGUUAUGAGUAGAAACCGUCAUUUUUCAGGACUGUUUGUCAUUUGGAACAAAUAGGCUGCUCGUAAUUCAGGACUUCAUUAGAAUGCAUGUUUAACUGAGAUUUGUAACAUCGUGCUCAGUCCCGUGCCAAAAUCUGCCUGUAGCCAUAAUAAAUACUGAAAAGCAGAUAACUUGAAGUAAGAAUUACUCGUUCAGUUUUUGCACAACAGCUUCAUUUAACUGUCACUCCAGGACUUCAGGAAGAAAAAACUAUAAUCAUAUAUUGGUAUCUGGAUGGUUUCAGAAAAAGUAAAGCAAAUCUGGUUCAUUUUAUUCUGUAACAAACAGGAUAAACUGCAAAGGCGUUCAUGACUAAAGAGUGUUUCCUUUUCUUUUAUUGUAUUUCUAAUACAAACCAGGGUAAUUACAGGGAUCUAAUUACUGAAUAUAAAUGCAGUAGUGGUAUUUCAGUAUACAUACGUAAAUUGUAUGUGGUUUGUAUCUUCAGCUUACCUGGAAAUUGUGAAUCUAGCAUAACGUCUGACUUUCCCCUGAACUAUGGAAAGAAUAAAUUAUGCAGCCUGGAUUUUAAUUCAAUUUAGGAUCUGGGUAUUGGCCUUGGCUGUAUUUAUUGUGCAACAGAACAAGAAAAAUUGAAGAGGAUAAUCUAGAACGUGGGGACUCAAUAGCAAAACCAUGCUAAUGAAGCAUAUGGGUGACCAUAUGUCAGAGAGCCUGUCUCUGUUCUUACUCAGUUUCACAGUGAGAGAGGAAUUGUUGAAGGUCCCUGUCAUUCUUCAGGUAUCUCUGUUAUUUAAGCCUGAAUAUUCUAGUUAAGCUACACAUGCUUUUUUUUUCUUCCAGAAGUGCAGUGGAAAUCUUUUAAGUCUAGGCUGUGGCUUUAUACUUCCAUUCAGAAAUCAAUUUGUUUUUCCUUUCCCUCACUUAGCCUUCUUGUAACUGACAAGAAGUAAGCUGCAGGCAAUAUUUCCAUUUUUCAUUUGCCACUGAAGAGUCUGCUGUCACUGAAAUAUUUAUUUUUUUUUGCCAUGUAGUGUCCCUUGUUAUGCAAACUUCUGACAGAAAAAAAAAAAAGAUUAUACAACUAAGCCAUUAGAGCAGACGUGUAUACUUCUUUACACCCUAAAUAUGGAAAUGCUGGAAAUUAUUUCUGUUCCUUGUUACUUCACCCUUUUCUGGUUAUUUUAACUGGGGCAGGAGCGGUAGAGUCUAAGUCUUGACCCUUCAGUUUUGAAGCAGCUGCCAUUCACCGUAGCCAGGAACUGGAAAUGACAUCUGGUGUUCAGUUCACUUGCACUGGCUUGUAGGAGGUAAUUAACAUCAUGGGUGAAGAUGUUUCAGUCCAAUUUGUGCUAAUAUUGUCUGUGUUAGAGACAGAGAUGCUUGACAGAAGGAAACCUUGGAAGUUCUAACUAAAAAAAAAAAAAGAGAGAGAGAAUUUACAGCUUGUUAAGCACAGAAACCAGAGCCCUGUGAACGUGUAGCACUGCUGCACAUGCUCAGAAUGAAUAGUGCAUUAGCGUUUGUCUCAUUUAGUUCACCAACAUACAAUUGAACAAGCUUUAUGUUCCUAUAUCUAUAAAACCAAAACGUUGGAAAAAUGGGCAUUGAUUUAGUGUAGUGAGUAUUCAAAACAUUUUUAUUUUUUUUUUUAAGAGAUGGAGUAGGACAGGCUCUAUCAUCUGCUUUAAUUUUUUGAGGGGAAAAUCUCUAGGUAGGUUGAGGAUUGACUGGGACUCCUUUUCUGGCAACAGUGCCACCUUGUUGCCUUAAGAGGCCCCUUGUGGUACUGUGCUAGUGGAGGCAGCUCUGAAGGAGUAAAUUGAUAGUGUGUACAAGCAUUAGUCAUCUACAUGCAGAUUCUUUUCUUUGACAGUAUUCACAUUUCUUUUACCACUUUUUUUCCUGAUCUUUUGGGGGCCUCAUUCUGUUACCUCUGCAAGCUAGGUUGGCUUGAUACAAAGUUCAUGUACAAAGAGUGAGUUUUCACAUGGUCAAGCAAAAAACCAAAAAACUAUUUGAAUUAACUGUAUGGGUACAGUGGAUAUGACUCCUGAGGAUUUUAUUCAUGUCUUUGGUCUUUUAGCUCUGAUUACUUACAUAUGGAAUUUGGAGGCAGUUAGCCUUAGAGAAUGAAAUGCCUGGGGAUAAUGCAAUGGAAAACACAACCUGGCUGCAAAUGCCAUGCUUGCAGUUUCUGGGAAAGAUGCAAGCUUCAGCAAACGUUGGGCAUUAUCUCCUUUUCAUAAAAGAGUUUGCUGUGACUUGAACUUUUUCUUUACUUGGUUAAAUAUUCCAAAGAGUAGAAGGAAGUUCGGCUGCAAAAGGGCUGCAAAAAUCUGCAACUAUAAUUUUGUGAUAUUAUUAAGCAGAGAAUAGAACAUUUUAGCACAGUGAGGGAAAGUAGCUUUCUGCUUCUCAAAAACAUCUUCCUUUUCACAAAAGAUUGUACUUUAUGUUGUUUUGUUUUGAUCCCCCCAUCCUCUUCAUCUCUACUUUGGUCUUAAAUUCGCUUCACAGUAAAGAGAACAGCUUCUUACACAUCACAUUCUUCUCCUUUCCAUAAGUGGUACUGCUCUCAACAUAUUUUCCCACCUCCUUCUUCAUUUUCAUGUCUUAAUCUUUUGCAUAGUGCUUAUGAUUAACUUUAUUAGGCUUGAGCAUCUGUUAAUCCAUGCAUAAUUUGUUUAAUUAUGAAAACAAAAACAGUAUUAGCAAUGUUCAUGCAAUUGUUUCAGGACAAUACCUUCUCCAGAUGACAAGUCACUAGGAGAAGUAGCAAAAUAAUUACCAUGACCUGUGUUGAACCUUAUCAAGUGCAUGUAUGGUUAUAGAUUCAACUAUAAAUGCAAAAAUAGCAUACAUAAUACUGAUUUUUAAAUGCAGAACUUCCGUAAAGCAAGAAAAGAGUUAGUGAAUAUCUCUGAUUCAGUGAAAACAUCUGUGCAUGUUGGGAAUGGAAGAGAAGCUAAACGAGAUUAUGAAUGAAGCAUUCUCUUACAGGAAGAUAUGAGUCUUCUGAAACACUGUUGCGUGCUUCCAGUAUUUCUUGAUGCUUGAAGCAGUAAGUUGAUAAAUCCAUCAAUGUAAGUGCUAGUUAUGGUAUUAUAUGGAUAGCUCUUUGCAUAUUCACCAAGUACUGUGUGCAUGUGUGAAAAGAACUAAGAAAAGAUCUGAUGUUCCCCCCCUCAAAGUGAAUAAGAAGAUACACCAUCCAUCUCAGUGAGAGCAGGGUUCAGUCCCAAAGAAACAUAUGUUGUCUUAUGAAAUUAGCUAGAAAGCUGAGUUGAAUCGUCAGCCAAGCUGGUAUAAGAAAAUGAUUUUAGAAGAAUGAAAGCCUGUGAUUUGUAUUCUGUGUGAUGAAGAAAGUGAGAAAAGCUUAGUCAUCUGCAGGAGUAAAAUGAUCUGAAGGGAAGUAGUGCCUUGAGUGACAUAGCUUAUUUAGCACGACACUGUGUCUGUACAAAAAGUAAAAUACCUUAAGCCAAUAACUUUAGCAGUUAUUUUGCAUUGUGCUUUUCUCUUGGUUUCUUUCCAAAGUAGUGUAAUACAUGGAAUGAAGGUCACUCUGCUAAUUUGAAGGCAGAAAACAAUGUUGAAAGAGGUAUUACAUAGGCAUUAUAACACACAGGAAUCUCCAAACCCAACAGUAUAAUCAAAUGUUUUUCAUUAUGCCAACUAAGCCCAAAUUGUUGUUAUUUAAAUACUCGGCAACUCUGGGGGCCUUUCUGAAGCUAAAGGUAUGAAUUUCUAUGAAGAAAAAGCUACCAAAGGACCAGAUGCUAUUCAUUUAUUUAGAAUCAAAAACCUAUGUUUGAAGUGAAAUUGCCAUGAGCUAAAAAUGAGUAGGAGGUGUGACUGACACUAUGUGUGCCAAGGGUGGCUCUAGUUUUUCAAGUAGCACCUUCCUCUCCCUUGUUAAGUUUCUUCUGCCUCAACUGUGUCAGGCACUGAAUGCUGAAGAAGUUGAGCAUUAAAAUAAACUUAAGAUUUAUCUUUUUUAAAAAAAAGAAAAAAAAAAACUGUCAUUGGGCAAAACAGAAAGGAAUUUCACUCAGCUGCUUCCAGGACACUGGUACCAGAAGCCAGAAAGGCAUGAGAGAAUUAAAGAAAACAUUGAAAACACUUGCUAUAUCAUCAGAGUUUUAUUUAGUCUGCUGUUGCAGUUGAUAGAGCUAGCUGUUCCCUUGCAGCAGAUUACUUGCCAGGAAGGCGUUCGCUGCAGUAGACUUGCUGCCUUCUGACUUUAUUGUAAUAUUUAUACGAUUGCAGUUUGGUCAGAGGCAUCCUGUUAAACUGCAACUAGCAAAAAAUACUUAAGCAAGAUUCACAUAAAUCUUAAUUCUAAUGAGUUCGAGUUUCUUUGGGAUUCAUUCCUUAGCAUAUAUGCAGUACUGUAAGCCUAGGACUGCUAAUGCAUUGAAAGAGGAGAUGCUUUCGUUGCUGUGGUGUUUGGUUGCCAGUGAGUGCUUCCUUGACUUCAGUUUUGGCACAUCAAUACAUGGACUACAGUCACAUGCAGACUGAGCUUUUGUAUCAGAAAAGAGAGAAGAAUGAAAAUGAUCAUUAAAGCAAAGGGAAUAGGAACCUCAAUUUAUACAAUUUCGUUUGAUUUCUUCUUUUUUAAGAUGAAGGGAGGUAUGAGUUGCAGUGUUGGUGGAUGAUUCAUGAUCUGCCAAACACAACUUGAUUAAAAAGAGAACAAAAAAAACCCUAACAUCACGUUUUAGCUUUUGAAAUAUGGAAAAGGAAGGAAAUGUUAGAGUAGCUGGAAAAAAAAAAUCUGGCAGAGGUUUUGUACAGAUUUGUCUGUUUUUCAGUUGAAGACUGAGAAAACCUGAUAAAUAUAGAUGAGAAACUUAAGUAUCACGUUAGUCUAACUAGCAUAGUCUCUGCAAAUAAAUCCUGCAGUGAAGCUAGUUGGUCUUUGGAUAGAUGUCAAGGCAUGGGUGUUUUUGAUCUAGAAGUUUAAUUUGGUUCUGUACUCCUUCGUGUACUUUGAUUUCCGUAAAGUAAAUUGUUGGAAUAGAUGAAAUGCCAGUGUAUGUGAAGAAACCUUAAAAAUCUGUAUGUGGAAUACAGUUGCUGUAAUUCAGUGUUUGGUACUUGAUGUUCAUGACUUGCUACUCGGUAAUGAGCUUCUCUGUGUGUCCUCCUUACUGCACUCCUGGUGUGAUAAUUCUCAUUUAGGGUGCAAGUCUCUGGUGCAUCUGCUGCGAGGCAUUUUGAAAUAAUUUGGAAAUGAUGUUUUAGAGACAGUGUCCUCAAAGUGUUCCUAUUUGAUUGGCAGAGUAAACAUUGACUUCUGUGGUAGCACUCGUGAACUAGUAAUUACAGACAAUCUUAAAACUUUUCAGAA